GGAAGCUUAGCUCAGCUGGGAGAGCAUCUGCCUUACAAGCAGAGGGUCACAGGUUCGAUCCCUGUAGCUUCCACCA
rnacentral:tRNA from 1 species